GGUUUCAGCAGGAGGGACAAGGCUAUGAAGCACUACCAGCAACACUUCCGUAAUCCAGAGACCACAAUACAGAUAGUUAUUACUCGGUAUGUCAACUAGAUCUUCACCACAUACACUGACCCAGCACCCAACAGUGCCAGCCUGGUAACACACCUCAUAGUCCCCCAGUCACAGCAGCCAUCGGAGACAGACACAUCAUCCCCGGGCUAUGAGCAGACUGAUGGGCAGCAGCCGCAAAUCGAGUACCAGUAUGCCUGCAUCAAUGAUCCGAGCCAGAGCACUGCCAAUGGGGAAGUUGUCCUUAUUGAGAUACCAGACAAG